UGGCUUCAGCAGUGAGGGUGGCUUCCAUUGUAUAGAAUAGAAAUAAAGCGAGUUGCAAUUGAAGCUUUGAAAAUUUGAUUGAUUUCGGUGAGGAACAUCCCUCACCAUCAACCACCAUGUGGAUGUCACCUCGAAUCUCAUAUCUCAUGUUGGUAGAUUGAGUAAAUUAGAAGUAAGUAAUGUCGAGGUUAAGCAUGGACGUUGCUGUUACAGUCUAAUGUCGCCGCCUCCUCCAACCCCCGAUUUGCAGGCCUCAAAGCCACGGACAAAACUUCAUCAUCCUUAUUACAAAGCUGGAGAUAUACCAAAUAAUUGUAUUGGGGAAAAUGUAUCUAGAAAAGACAAGUCCAAGUAUCUUCUCACUACACUUCUUGAUCUCAACGACAGGAAGGAGGCUAUUUGUGUUGCUCUUGAUGCCUGGGUUGCCUGAGAACAAAAUUUCCCCAUCGCCUCAUUAAAAACGAUAUUGAAUGUUCUUGAAAAGAAGCAGCAGUGGCAUGGGGUUGUUCAGGAGGGAGGAGAAGUUCCAAGUUGUGAUAAAAUUAGUUGCACGACCAGACCUUCACCAUGUAGAAUUGUUUUUGGAGGGGAGACAAAUUGAUGCUCCGCUGGAAGCUAUUGAUGCUCUUGACUGUGUUCUCGGUGCACCACGUGCUACUAGGUAUUGCCGAUUAGGAAGGUCGUUCUAUUCACCCAAACUGGGUAAAAACACAUCUAGGUGAGGGAUUGGAAAGUUGAGAUGGUUUAUUUCAAAGUUUUCGUCCCCUUCAGAUGGGUUUAUCUCUGAAUGUUGGUGCGUAAUAUCACUAAUUCUUUAUUUCUUCAUUUUUAUAAAUAAAUUCUUUUGACAAAUCAAUUUUUCUGAAUAUGUUCAUUUAUGGAUGUUCAGACGUAUCCUCCGCUGUUUUUAUCGAGUCAUUGCCAGUUAUAGACUUUGUAAAAUAAUGGCUGAAAAUGAAUGUAUCCAACCAACCACUUUCUUAUGCUGAUCGUGCAAAGGUUUUCCUGUUCAGCAGUUGUUUUACAAAGUCUAUAACUGGCAAUUGCUCAAUAAAAACAGCGGAGGAUACAUCUGAACAUCCACAAAUGAACGAGAGAAACUUCAGUACAUCAGUUGUAUGUCAUUGGGUACUCAUUUUUUCCAAUUUUGAAAAGAUUCUUUCCAUUCUACUCCUUUACUUUAUUUUUGUUCCCAUUUUAGUCCUCAAACACUUUCUUUUCUUGGGCAGAUGUUCCAUACAUCGGAUGUAUGGAAGAUUUUUCCCAAAUGAACAUAUUCAGAAAAAAUUGAUUUGUCAAAAGAAUUUUUUUAUAAAAAUGAAGAAAUAAAGAAAGCAGUACACAAAUUAUUGUGAUAUUACGCACCAACGUUCAGAGAUAAACCCAUCUGAAGGGGACGAAAACUUUGAAAGAAAUCAUUCCAACUUUCCAAUCUCCUAGAUGUGUUUUACCCCGUUUGUGUAUGUCAAGGUAACCCGGUCUAGGGCCACAGUGAGGGCAAUGGAGAGGCUUCACGGAUUUAGAAGAAAAACAGGCCACAGUGAAAAAGAUAUGCAUCAAGCAGCCCUAUUCUUCUAACAUGUGUCUUUAAAGUGUAAUGCAAUGGAGGAUCCAAACUUCCAACACCAACUUCAAACCAAGGCUUAAAGAAUCAAGUUAAUUGUAAUUGAGCUUCAAACUCAUUAGCUAUGUCUUUCUUUCUUUUUUAAAAUGUGAACAAAAAAUUAGCAGAAAUCUUCAAACAAACUCAAUAACUUCCUCAAUAUAUAUAAGUGAUCUAUUGCUUAAAGCGAGAUCUCAUGAAUUGCAGCAGGAUGUCUGAGGAUUUAAGUGAUCUAUUGCUUCUAAUAGCACAGGGCCGCAUGUACAAGGUGUUAACGAUUUAAAAAAUAGUAGUAUCAAGUGCUGCAUGUAGAAAAGUUGACUGGGUAUCAGCUCUACAAUGUGCGAGUACUAAGUCCAUUGUGUUGCGUGGAUCCUAGUGUGCUACUUGUGUCAAGGGCAGAAGUAUAAGUUCAACAACUGAAUAUUUCACAUCAAGUGUGUUUUCCGUUAUGUAUUAGACCAAAGUUC